UACGUAGGGGCCGAGCGUUGUCCGGAAUUACUGGGCGUAAAGCGCGCGCAGGCGGCUGAUCAAGCCUGACGUGAAAGCCCCCGGCUCAACCGGGGAGGGUCGUCGGGGACUGAUUGGCUUGAGGGCGGUAGGGGCCGGUGGAAUUCCCGGUGUAGUGGUGGAAUGCGUAGAUAUCGGGAGGAACACCAGUGGCGAAGGCGGUUGCCUGGAGCUUUGCUGACGCUGAUGCGCGAAAGCGUGGGGAGCGAGUCCGGU
rnacentral:rRNA from 1 species